rfam:Triticum aestivum genome assembly, contig: Triticum_aestivum_CS42_TGACv1_scaffold_230140_3B
AAAGUACCCCCUCCGUCCCAAAAUUCUUGUCUUAGAUUUGUCUAGAUACGGAUGUAUCAAGUCACAUUUUAGUAUUAGAUACAUCCGUAUCUAGACAAAUCUAAGACAAGAAAUUUGGGACAGAGGGAGUAGUUG